rnacentral:rRNA from 1 species
AGAACGAACGCUGGCGGCAGGCCUAACACAUGCAAGUCGAACGCGAUCUUCGGAUCGAGUGGCGCACGGGUGAGUAACGCGUGGGAAUCUGCCCUGUGGUACGGAAUAACAUCGGGAAACUGGUGCUAAUACCGUAUAUCCCCUGAGGGGGAAAGAUUUAUCGCCAUGGGAGGAGCCCGCGUAGGAUUAGCUAGUUGGUGAGGUAACGGCUCACCAAGGCGACGAUCCUUAGCUGGUCUGAGAGGAUGAUCAGCCACACUGGGACUGAGAUACGGCCCAGACUCCUACGGGAGGCAGCAGUGGGGAAUAUUGGACAAUGGGGGAAACCCUGAUCCAGCCAUGCCGCGUGUGUGAUGAAGGCCUUCGGGUUGUAAACCUCUUUCAAGCAGGGACGAUUGUGACGGUACCUGCAGAAGAAGCUCCGGCCAACUACGUGCCAGCAGCCGC